GGUAUUGAAAUAAGAUUUUAAAUGAGUGCUAAGAGAAUGAUUAAACAAUUAAAAACUUUCUUUAAUUAAAUAAUUAAAUUUAAUUUUUUUGGUGCGAAAGCAAAAAUAUAAUUUAGGGACAAGAAGACCCUAUGAAUUUUUAUUAUUAAUAUUUUGCAAUUAAAUUAUUAAUAAUUUAAUUGGGGUGAUAAAAAAAGAAUAAGUAUCUUUUUAAUUGUAAAAUAAGUUCCGUUUUUAGCGAUUAAAUGAAAAAAAUACUCUAGGGAUAACAGCGUAAUAAUUUUGGAUAGUUCAUAUAGAUAAAAUAGUUUGCGACCUCGAUGUUGGAUUAGGAUUCUUUUUUGGUGAAGAA
rnacentral:rRNA from 1 species